AUUUAACUCUUUCUUCAUUCUUAACACAUGCAAGUCUAGCGAGCUGCGGACGUUUUAUUAAUUUCUUUUAAACUGCCUGAUGGAGGGUGAUAACUACUGGAAACGGUAGCUAAUACCGCAUACCAUCAGAUGUGCCCAGAUGGGAUUAGCUAGUAGGUGGGGUAAUGGCUCCCCUAGGCGACGAUCCCUAGCUGGUCUGAGAGGAUGACCAGAAAAACGGGAACUGAGACACGGUCCAGACUCCGACGGGAGGCAGCAGUGGGGAAUAUUGCACAAUGGGCGCAAGCCUGAUGCAGCCAUGCCGCGUGUGUGAAGAAGGCCUUCGGGUUGUAAAGCACUUUCAGCGAGGAGGCGUUACUCGCAGAAGAAGCACCGGCUAACUCCGUGCCAGCAGCCGCGGUAAUUC
rnacentral:rRNA from 1 species